GACGAACGCUGGCGGCGUGCUUAACACAUGCAAGUCGAACGGAAAGGCCCUGCUUUUGUGGGGUGCUCGAGUGGCGAACGGGUGAGUAACACGUGAGUAACCUGCCCUUGACUUUGGGAUAACUUCAGGAAACUGGGGCUAAUACCGGAUAGGAGCUCCUGCUGCAUGGUGGGGGUUGGAAAGUUUCGGCGGUUGGGGAUGGACUCGCGGCUUAUCAGCUUGUUGGUGGGGUAGUGGCUUACCAAGGCUUUGACGGGUAGCCGGCCUGGGAGGGUGACCGGCCACAUUGGGACUGAGAUACGGCCCAGACUCCUACGGGAGGCAGCAGUGGGGAAUAUUGCACAGUGGGCGGGAGCCUGAUGCAGCAACGCCGCGUGCGGGAUGACGGCCUUCGGGUUGUAUUCCGCUUUCGCCUGUGACGAAGCGUGAGUGACGGUAAUGGGUAAAUAAGCACCGGCUAACUACGUG
rnacentral:rRNA from 1 species